UAAGCCAAAAAUGGCGUAAAGUGAAGUGCAUGAUUUAUCUGGGAGAAAGUCUUACUGUUUUGUAAAAGCAGAAAUCCUCUUCGAAUUCACAAAAACAGGUGCUAAUAUGUUGCCCAACUUGCUAGGCAUUUCGAUCAAUUUAUUUUUCAUUCUGAUUUCUUGUAUAUACAUCUUUCUGAAUGUCCAUGAGCCUCUGCCCUCAACAGACAUGAUUGGAAAUUGGAAGACAAUGGAAAUAUUACGUUCCAAUACACAUGUAUUUCUAAAAUGGGACAAUUCAAAAAUUUGGGGUCAACCCCCAUUCCAGGGACUUGAGCCCAGUAUUAAUUUGAAGCUUCAGGAAACAGUGAGCAAGUGGUACAUUAUUGAAGAUGCUGUCUUUUGGAAGAGACCUUAAAGCAAACCCUGUCUCACUUCUGGGUGGAUGUAAAAGAUCGUAGUGUACAAAUUGAAGUAUAAUCAAGGUGUUUUCCUGAUGUACUGGCCAAAGUACCUCUCAUUGAUUUCAUUACUCUUUGUAAGAUCAAAUUGACUCCUGCAUUAAUCUGGAGUGACGUAAUAAAUACAGUUUCAUAAAGUAUUUUGUGGACAGUGGAACACUUGGAGAUAUCCAGAAGACAAAGAAAGUGUCACAUAUUCAAGUUCUUCCAUCAUUUUUCAAGAAAGUUAUCCAUCUGGUUAAUAGAGACACACUUUUUAUUUAAGAUUGCCUUGUUGAGAACUAUGAACAUCCUGCCUAUGUAUUUAAUUUUUUGUUAAAUGAUAUAAUUUUAUUUGUAAAUUUUUCAAUAUUGCUUCCAAACUAGUCGUAAUA